GAGGAGGCGUCAGGAGGACGACCAUCCGCGCCGGGAAACCCGCGUCGGCUGUAGGUGACUGAACCCACAGCAAGUGAAUUGUGGUGCCACUCUGGAUGGCCCUGUCCUCCUGUGACUCCUCAGUGACCUUCACCCCCCUGUGUGGCCAGAGAGCUCUCCAGGUCAUCAGCCUCCUGAGAGCGGGGUGAUGGAUACAGCUGGUGCCGUCCUAAAAGACAUUUUGAGGACUAGGUCUCAUUGUCCUCCCUCAACUAUGGGGAACCAAGCCAGAGGACGGAGCUGCCAGAACUCGGGAUCGUGCAAGGCCUCGGCACAGAGGAAGAAAUGAGAGGUGGCGUAUGGGCCCUGCGUAUAGGAUGUCGGAAGAGGAAGGCCCGAGCGUUUAGAAGCACCAGGCCCACGGGAGUCUUGGGGACUAGCAGCCCUGGGAAGGUUCUGGAAAGCAGCCUACAGCUCUGAAUAGCUCUUGGGAGCAUAAAGUAAGUCUGGCUGGGAGCCUUUACCUUCACAGCCCCAGGCGGCUAGGCUGGCCCCACCUUGCUGAUGAAAUAUUCUAGUUCAUUCUUCCCAAAUUUGUCUUUCAUAAGAAUCAUGCCAGGCACUAUUAAAUAUGCAGAUUCCCAGACCCCACCCCAGAAGUACGAUUCGAUCUCUUUAAUGGAUGCUCUGAGUGAUCUCUGUGAUGAGCCAAGUUUGGGGAAACACUCUUUUCUUUGUUCAAGGAGUCUCAGGAAUAAUGGGCUUGUCCAUCCCUCCAGGUGCUUUUGUUGGCUGUCUCAGAAGAGAGGACAGGGUCUUUCCUCCUCCUCCUCAUCUUCUUCGGAGGUCUUGGACACAUAGACCGUUGGCCAGGGCCAGGUCAUAGCUUAAUGUAGGGACUCAUCUAGAAUAAACUUCUAUGUGUUUUCUACCUCUUUGGGAGUCAGUCUUCCCCUUCUUGUCUUAGUAAGA